AGAGCGAACGCUGGCGGCAGGCUUAACACAUGCAAGUCGAGCGGGCGUAGCAAUACGUCAGCGGCAGACGGGUGAGUAACGCGUGGGAACGUACCUUUUGGUUCGGAACAACACAGGGAAACUUGUGCUAAUACCGGAUAAGCCCUUACGGGGGAAAGAUUUAUCGCCGAAAGAUCGGCCCGCGUCUGAUUAGCUAGUUGGUGAGGUAACGGCUCACCAAGGCGACGAUCAGUAGCUGGUCUGAGAGGAUGAUCAGCCACAUUGGGACUGAGACACGGCCCAAACUCCUACGGGAGGCAGCAGUGGGGAAUAUUGGACAAUGGGCGCAAGCCUGAUCCAGCCAUGCCGCGUGAGUGAUGAAGGCCCUAGGGUUGUAAAGCUCUUUUGUGCGGGAAGAUAAUGACGGUACCGCAAGAAUAAGCCCGGCUAACUUCGCGCCAGCAGCCGC
rnacentral:rRNA from 1 species